GAAAAGGCAUUUCUCAAUGCCACUCAAUGGGAUCAUUUUGAAAUUUU
rfam:Physcomitrella patens subsp. patens PHYPAscaffold_93 genomic scaffold, whole genome shotgun sequence.